rnacentral:rRNA from 1 species
AUGGAGGGUCUAUCAUUGGCUAUCCAGCGAACUGAGCUUCCAGUUGCAAUCGAGAUGGACUCCCUUAUUGCAGUGAAGAUGAUCCAGGCAAAAGAGGUGGAUAGAUCACUCUAUGCAUCGCUUAUCAAGGAGAUUAGAUAUCUUAUGUCUAUUCAUGAAUCAUGUAUUACUUAUAUCGUUCGUAGCCAAAAUAAAGUUAGUAAUAGUUUAGCUAAGUUUGCUCGUUUAGAAGGUCGAACCAUGACUUGGAUCAGUUCUGGGCCUUUGGUUGCUACGGAGUUAGCUACGAUUGACUGUAUGAACUUCUCGAGGUGA